CUGCAUUUGUUGGAUAAUAAGGCCACAUGUAUUUAAAUAGUGGUGUCUUUAGCAACAAUGCGUAAAUGAAAAGCUAUUCAGUUGGCAGCGGCCAGACAACCGCAGGGAUGGAUCCACAGAUGACUGAUAUUUGAUGCCAUCUACUAAUUCCAUCUCAUAUUU